ensembl:lncRNA
CGGACGAGAACACCUUCAGAGUUCUUGUGGAGGCCGUGCCUCGCCGGGUCGGAGCUGUUUUGGAGACACGAGGGGGAUCUACACGAUAUUAGGCAGAACGGACUUGUCCUGAGAGCUGAAACUGGGUUUCAUCAAACGGCGCUGGAAAUCCUCUCUGGUGUCAUUUUCACACGUAUUAAGAGCUUAAACAGCUGGCACGCGCGUUACACGCCAACGUUACACCCCAACUAUUUACUGAAAAAUAAUUAUAGUAUUCAAAAUGAGGAAACGAGCAGAAACUGACAGUACUACUCUUUUUUUUUUAUUGUAUUAGUUAUUUAAAAAGAAAUGAAUAAUAUUUUUCAUAGUCCCCCCCCCCAGUGAUUCAGUGAUGGAUCAUAUAACCCUGAAAUCAUCUAAUUUUUGAACAUCAUAUACAACCCCAAUUCCAAAAAAGUUGGGACACUGUAAAAUUAGUGCCUAUGGAAUGGACAGCUUGCACAUCUGGAAAGGCAUCAGUUGAAUAACAACUUUUUUUGGACUAAAAUAAUGACGAUUCGCUUUUCUGAGACAUCACUGACAUUAUUAUUAUUAUUAUUAUUAUUA